rnacentral:lncRNA from 1 species
GAAAUGAAGGUACGUAACUAUGGGUCACUACCAUCAAACAGAUCUUUUUAAUGAAACACAAGAUUCCAAAAAAAUGCACAUUGCUGAUAGUUCCUGUCAAACUAAAAGGCCAACACAUUAAGCAACUUUCCAGCACAUGCCUGGUUUUCUACAUAGAUACGGAAAUCUCUUAACUGAAAAUUCAAAUUCAUGGCCCCCAGAUGCCUGGUUUUCUACAUAGAAACAGAAAUCUCUAAGCAUGAAAAAUUCCACAAGUUUCAAAAACUUGCAAACAUGUUAUCUUGAUUAUUCAUAUUAGUGGCACCAAAUUGUUGCUUCAAUAAACCAUCUAGAAGAGAGAAGCCAAAGACAGAGACCGAACUGUCCAAGUGUCACCAUGACUAGAAGGAAAUAAGUCAGAGGAAAAAAUGAAUUACAUUAAAAAAAAGUACCUGUUAUGAUCUUUAGCAGCAUAUGCGCUGGAGCUGGUGGAGGUUUUCAGUCGAUUAUAUCUUGGACUUGAAUCAGCCUUCUCAGCAUGUUGACGCUCUGACCUAGGUUUAUCACUACGAGAAACAGUCCUACUAGUGGAUGCAUUUUUAUCAACAACUUCACGUCGCUCCUUUGCACCUCUUGGGUUCAGAUUACCAUGAUCCUCCUUUUCAUCAGAAUACCUUUUCCUUCCCUUGCUAUCUUUGGGCCUCGUGUCAUGAUCAUCAACAUAAGAAUUCCCAUCGUGAUCAGUAUCCUGAAGUUUACUUUUCUUAUAAUGACUCUCCAGAUGUUUGUUUUCAUCUCUAAGAUGGCCUUUGUCAGAUUUAUCGUUCGUGUGAUCUUUUGAUAUGCACUCAUCUUGGUACUUGUCAUCGCGAUGCUUACGAUCCUUGUCAUCUUCAUCCCUAUAUUUACCUCUGUACUUCGCACCUGCAUGCUUUUCAUCUCUGUAGCUUCUAUUUUUACUAAGAUCAUCUCUAGAAGAUUGUCUUUUCUCAUCGAAAUCUCUACUCUCAUCUAGCCAUUUAUCUUUAUCUUCAGAGUCAUCUCUCUUCAUGUGUUUCUCAAGCCCCUUCUCUGCCUCAGCACUGUGCAACCUUUCUGUUGCCAGAUAGAUGGAAGAUACAAGUUAAUAAUCAGAGUAUCACCAACUAGUAGAAAGUACCAGUCAGCAAAAAUAUAAUACAUACUAUAAUCAUAAAAGACAACACACUUAUAGUAAAUAAUGUUGUUGUUUAGGACACAAAUAGUGACAUUGAAAAGAUAUAAGCAGACUUAUUGUAUCCAAUAUAAUCAUAAAAGACAACACACUUAGAACAACUACAAAAAAAUUGCAAACACACCACCUACAAUAGUGAUAACACUUAAUGGUAAAAUAGCAUAUACUCUCGCCCAACUAAAAACUUACAAAAUAGAGGUUACAGACACGAUUAAGGGAUCAACUUUAUCAUAAGUCUUUCAGAUGACAAUAAAUUGAUGAGGUGCCAUGUACUGAUAUUAUUAACAGCAAUUUAUCAGAAAAUGUCAAUAAUAAAGUUAACUUCUCAUGCAAACAUGAGAUCAACAAUAGAUACAUUCAUCACAUAAAUUGGAGUUAAUGAAAAAGAGCAAUGUAAUAAUUUUCCACUAGGCCGAGCCAGACUCAGAGAUUGAAGAGGUAUCAUUGCCAGAGAUUCUAUGUUAAAAUUAUAAAUUAUGUUCUAAAUAUUGCAAAUAACUACAAAAGAAAUCUAGUUACUUGAAAGUCAAUAUGAUUCUAUGAUCUGUACAAAUUGCAAGAGACAGAAUCACACACAUGAAUAGAACAAAACUGAACUUUUCAAGGGGGAUCAAUGACAAUCGUCAAGCUAUUUGGGAAUUAAGAUGAUGAGAUGAUAUUAAAGUAGUUCAUAAGUACCUAAUAUAACAAGAAAUAUAAAAACUUGUUAAAAGAAUAAUUAAACUGAAAGACUUUCAGGUCCAAUAUAUGAAGACUCAAAGUGCAGACAGUUUCUACUUAUGCUUCAUUCAGAUAAAGAAUAUGACAUGAUCCCAAUUUGUGUGAUUUGCAUAAGGGCACAAAACUGAAUCCUUUAGAAAUUUGUUUAUGCUUUGCUUGGUAAAUAUGGAUCCAACUGUGGAACACUAUAGAUUAUCUAAAAUGUCUUGAGUGCCGAAAGGUAAUCCCUGAGACAUUUCCAUUAAUAUGAUUAAAAAUGGAACUACCAGUCACCUAUUACAGAGAUCAUGUCAAGCAUUUUUUUUAAAAAAAAUCAUGGAAAAUCAAGUUUUCAAAUCAAAUUUUUAUCACAAAAUCCAUGUAAUUUGAAGCAAUAGACACAUAUAUUCCAAUGUUCCGCAAAACAAAUGUCAGGUCACAAAUUGGAAAGAAACUUCAUUUCGAAAAAGACAUCAGCUACAAAAAGAACAGUGAUAAUAACCAUAACAGAGCAUCAAUAUAUUUGUAGGACUAAAAAAACCAAAAAAAUCAUCUUAACCAAGGUGGCGUAUCAUACAUCCAGUUAAGCCAAUUGUCCACUGAACUAAUUCUUCCCAGUUCCAACUAUAAUAAGCAAAUUUACUUAAUUCACAUAAUAAAAUCCAAUGCAUCGUCUAAAUAAGCCGAUUAACAUUAAAUCAAGUUUCUUUUGACAGUAUGAGGUGCAAAAUGCCAUGAUAUACACAAAUAGGUUAUCAUUAAACUCCUUAACAUCUGAACUGCAAUAGCACCCUCCUGAUAAUGAUAAAAAUAUACAAAGUCACAUCAGUCAAGCCAAAACCAAAACCAAACUACAAACAGCCUUCUCGCCAUCUUCCUAACCCAUUUGAAACUAAUUCCGGCUUUGAUUAUGUACUUCUGUCUCUCUAAUCCAAAAGGAAAAUUAUUGAGUACAAAUAAUCAUCAGACCAACAGUGAAUAAUGAGUUAAAAAUUCCACCACUCUUAACAAUCGGCAUCCAUCCAUCAUAACUUGGUAAGAUUCAAAGAUACCUUUCUAAAAUUAAGAUAUCAUCAAAGUCACUACAAUUAUUUCUUCCCAGCUAAUUCCACUCAAACUUGCUUAAACUCCAAAUUAAACAACUUAAUCUCCUGGUCAUCUGCUUUAAUAAAGUAGUAGUAUUUCAACUUUAAUUUCUUCAAGAGGUCAUUCGUGCAACAAAAAUAGUAGGAAGAACUCAUGUGGAAGUUCCGUAAUCCCAACGCAACCAGAAUUACCAUAGAACACAUUUGUUCAAAUUCCAAACUCUCACCCCUAAAACUCUCAGCAAUCUCAUUAAAAUUUUUAAAUGUUUCACAUGUCACAAUUUUCCAGUUAUGCAAUCAGAUAUAAUCAAUACCAACAUCAAAUGUUUCACAUGAUACAACACCAAUAUUCUCAAGCCCCUUUUCAUGUAUGUCAGUCCAACUCCUAAGACCUCAUAUCCUAAGCAUGAAGUGGAUCAUCAAAUUUUGUAAAAAAAUCCAUAAGGCAGCCACUGAAGAAUACUUUGUAUUCGAGUGUGCCUAAAAUGUGCAACAAACCAACAACCUUAAAGUUAGAACAGUAAAAUGACCUAUAUCCACUAAACAAAAAUAUCCAUGAAACUAAGAUGCACCAUUCAACCAAAACAAAGUUAUGAUUUGAUCAAAUUGAAUUUCCCAAGACAAGAUUUAUUCCCUCUUCUUGAGAAGAAAGGUAAUAAAGGUCAUUAGGCCACAACAAUGGUUGCUUAGCAAAAAAUAAUGUGUGAAGUUUUUUACUUGGUCAACUAGUUUAUGCAUAGAAAUAUAGGUGGUAAGCUUGAUAUUUUCAAAUGAUUCAAUCUUUUGGUGGGUGGCUCUGGAACAAGAUGAAUGCCUCCUAUAAGCAUAUUGUUUAACAAUGGAAAAAAGGAAUAGGUCAAAUUAUUAAAAAGGUUAUGGGUUAACUUACCAUUGAUUUUUGUAUACUUCUUUUUUGCAAUAUCUUCUGUGUCUGCGACAGCCUGAGAACCAGGUUUAAUGCCCCCCAAAUCAUCAGACUUGUGAUGCCUGGAAUCUUGGGCCUCCCUGUCCUUAUCGGUGUCCCUUUCCUUUCCAUCCUUAUACUGAACAGUGCUCCCUCUCCGGCUUGAAUCUUUAUCAGACUUUCCCUUCACCGACUCAUUCUUCCCACCACACUCAUCCCUUUCAUUCGAAUCUUCAUGCCUACUGCUUGACCUGCCCUUGGAAUCAGCAGCCUUCGACCUAGAAUACUUGUCCAACUCCACCGGCCCAAAUUCCUCUGCUUUCGUCCUCUUGUGAUCAUUCUCUGCGCCACCAUUCCAUCGAUCAGCAGCCAUCACCUCCUCCUCCUCCCUUGAUUUACGCUUCUUCUCCCCAGAGGUGUCCCCAUUGCCAGUAUCCACCAGCUCUUUAGCAGCAUGCUCAUGCGAGGACCUCCGUUUCUCCGACUGCGGAUCCCUAGAAAUCCUGGCUCCCAAGCUCGCAGCCAGUUCCUCUUCCGUGGUCCUCCUCUCCCGCGGGUUCUCAUCCUCCUCGGAGUCGGACCGGUCCCUGGAGUGCUUGUGCGACCGGUGGGAUCUGUGCCGUGAGCUCCGCGGCAUCCUCGCGAAGCCCUAGAAACCCUAGUCCAAUAAAUGUCCGAUCGAGCAGUGGGAAUCCUCCGACGAGUCAGCAAACCCCUUAAAGAAACACGUCUUCCUCACAACCACCGCGAUCUCCACAACAAACCGUAUCGAUCAGAAGAAAAACCCCAAGGCGGCGGCCGCGAGAGAGCGUAUCGACGGCCCCCGCGGUGGAGAGAUUGUAGACGAAGAGAACAAGAGCAGCUCCAAGAAAGGAGAGGAGAUCGAAAGAGAAAGGAGGGAAGCAGAGCAUGCGGUGGCGGCGCGGCGGUGGGGCAGCAGCGGAGACACGAGAGAGGUAAAGAAGAGGGAAGGGGAACUGGAUGAAGAGAGGCGACCGGGUGCGUGACGAAGAGAUGGGGUUCGAGGCGAAGCGGUCCGCCCCUUGGUUUCCUUUUAUGACUGAACUACCCUUGUGCUCAUACGAACUUACGUGCACCUAUUGGCGGUAAUAUCCCCUUUUUAUAGGACCAAUUCAGUAAUGUCGCAUCAUUAUUUAGUUCCGGAAGAAACCCUUGCACUCUCGCAUUAUUCUAUGACAUAAUUAUCCUUGCACUUAUGCGAAUAGCCACAGUUUAACGGUGGUAAAUGUAGAGUCAGUAUAGGGUUAAUUUAGACAUUUACUUACCGAGCCUUUUUCAACGAGUAGUAAAACUGGAAAUAGCUAAUACGUCUUCCUACCGUUUCGGACGUACUUGCAUUGUCUACCAUAGUCUAACUGGAUAAAGAUAGUGGUCCCCCCGCUGGGACCCGUUCCGAUACCUUCGCACUGCAACUUUGCAUAAGAGUAACACGCCAACAAUUCUGCCCACCUUAUCUACCUGUAAUCUACCUGAAGAAACGGAGUGGUCCCCCGUGGGACCCAACCAAAGACCUUGGGGCUGCCCCUCAUAGUUCAGACGGUGACGCCACUGAUGGGUAAGCGAUUAUCUCUGUGUUUAUAUUGGAACUAAUCAUGGAAAGCUUAUUGAACCCUAAAAGAAAACUGGGUUGGAUACAAUGAUCCUACUUUGAUUAACUUCAAUAUAUUUUUGUAGAAUGAGUAAUGUUAUUCAUUAUUUCAUCAUGAAUGAGCUUACAAAUUCAUAAAUGUAAUUUUAAUUUUAAAUAAGCAAAGUAUAAUUUUCCUAUUGCAUUAGGAAUAAUGUCAUAGCAGUAUUAGGACUACUGUAAACCCCUGAACAAUAUUUUUUAUUAAAUCAGGAAUAUAACCAUUUGAAAACACAAUUAUAUUUAAAAAAAUAACUAUAUUCUAAUUGGAAUAUAGUUUCUAUAUUCAUAUAGCUUCUUUAGUUUAGGUGAUUAUGGAAAAUUGAACCUCACAAACAUUUCUUAAAUACAACAACAAGUUGUUUAGUAAAUAAAAUAUAAAAAAAAUAUUAUUGAUGAAAUAUCGAUCUAUUUUCACAUGCUUUGUUCUAUCAUAUAAUCCGAGUUGUGGGUAAUAAUUUAUUCGACAACAACAUAGGAUUACUUGCUCUGAUUUUAAUCAAAUUAGUUCACAUAUUCGUAAUGUCAUGAUUCUAAAUUCAGCUUAUUGGGCGACUUCAAUAGCUGAAAAUUUGAUCUUCUGUAUAGUCUGCGUAGGUUUCUAUGCUUAGAUGAGAUUUCAAAGAUGAUUGCAUGAAUUGACUCGCCGAAGUUUUUCUACCUUGUUUUCGAACAUAUAGGUGAAGCGUUGAGGUAUUUUAAGUAAUCUACGUCUAGAUGAGAUUUCAAAGAUGAGUACAUGAAUCGGCUUAGGAUAUACUAAUUGCAUAUGAUAUGUUAUGUUUAGCCAUAGCAUCAUCUUUUAUACGAGUGAGUCAAAGUCAACUGAGAUUCUUUUUCGAAUCUCUCUCGAGAUAGGGUAGUAUUGGAUGAAUAAAACACCCCAAUCGAAAUAUUGUAAAUUGCAUAGGAGACGUGUGAAAAGAUUCCUCUAAUAUUUAGAUUUGUUUUAGGAUUCAAUUCAAUAUAGAGACAUAAAAAUAUUAGAGUGAAUUAGAUAUAUGAUAUAUAUAUAUAAUCAUUGAGUUCUAUGUCGAUUUGGUUUAACAUAGAUCGAAAGAUGUUAUUUUAAUUAUUAUUUCAGUAAAUUGCUUCUCUUUAGCUUAUCAUUCUUCCUUGUUCAAGUAAAACAAAUACUUAUUUUUGCUAGAAAAUCAAGAUCCCUUCUUUGAACGUAGAAAGGUAACUCAUUACAUCGAGACUCGGAUGAUAUUGAAUUUUGCUACAAAAGUAAAAAAGAUGCUCCUUAGUAAAAAGAAAAAAAAUCUCCCCAAGAUUCUCUUGUGGUAUGUCUAUGAACUCUCAUGUUUGUUUCUUCUCGAGUGCAUAUGUUUUAUGUGAUUAUGAGAGGUUUAAUGAGGAGAUAUAAUGUAUUAUGUGAUUAUAAGAAGUUUAAUGAGAAGAUUUAAUGCUAUAACUAUCUUAAUAUAUUAAGAAUACAACUGCACUCAACUAUUUUAUUUAUGAAUUAUUUAGGGAUAACACUAACUACAUAACAAUAUAAUUAUAUUGUAAUUAGGAAAGAAAUACAACUUCCAUAUAGAUAUACUUUCUAUAUUCUUAGGUGAUUCCCCAACACUUUUGUUUUUGUUUUAGAGUGCUAAAUGAUGGAUAUAUGUGAAUAUAUAUAAUUUCAACCCACAAAUCACUUCAACUUAAACAUGACAGGGUAAAUCAUUUCAGCCAGAACAGUCUAAUUCUUCUUAACUCAAUUAUUUUGUGGGCUAAACCAGGAAUUUAGUCUAAUUUGCUAAAGCCAAAAUGCGAGCUAUAGAUACCUGGCAACAAUUCUACACAAACAAACAAUAAUAUAAACUCUAAUCAGGUGAAGUCAAAUGAUGAUCACACUUUUGUAUGACAUAGAGAGUGUGGUUGAUGUGAAAUUGACCAUCACAAAAGUUAUGCAUCACAAAAGUAACCUUCGAAAAGCUGAGAAAGGAAAGAUAUUUGAAUUUUUCCAGCAAAGUUCUUGAUAUUGAUGAAUUGGAAAACUUUCUGGCCAUGAAAAGGUGCUGUGCUCUUUGAUUCAAAAAACCAGGAUGAUAUCAUAAGCACACAGUUCUGUGAACCUACUGCAUAUCUUCCUGAUAGUACAUUCUUGCGCCAUGUAAUGACAGAAAACUAGUAUUCUGGAAAAAGAGACAGCACUGUACACCAUUUGGCACAUGACACCAUGGAAUAAUCAACCUUGUUUCAUUCUGGAUCUGGAUUCUGCACAGCUAAAUUAAUCUUUCCAACCAUCUUUGUUUAAUCUCCUUGAAGCAAGACCUUUAGAUGAUGGAGUUGAAACAAGUUGUGGAGUUUUUGGUGCUUCAUCAUCCCAAUCAUCUCCCCAACUGUUAUCCCAGCCGUCAGCCUCAUCAGUUUCCUUGCUUCCUCCUGUUGAAACGGGCAGCACCAUAUCGACCUUCUGGUAGCUGGGAAUACUUUUGCCAUAUGUCCGCCAUAAUCUGAUGCAUAACCAAGCAGCAGUGACCAAAACAACUACACCGAGAAACAUGCUGACGGAUAAAGUUCGAGCAAGAAAACUGAGGUAUCUGGAUGUUUCGCCCCUGACAGAUGUUGGGAUCAUAUUCCGCAAAUUGAGGCGGCAAUUACCAUCGUCUGCGUUCAAAAUAAUUGUCGUGUCAUUUGCACCAUCCUUGACAAAAACCUUCACCUGCAUUAUUGAAAUUGGAGAGGGAACUGAGAGAAUCUCAAGAUAAAAGCAAGAUCCUCAAACUUGAGAUGGUUUGUUCAACAAAGGUCUGUAUGUUGAUUAAGGGAUAUGCAAGAUCAACUUCAACAAGUACAUGCUUCAAAUAUUAUUGUCAAUCGUAUCCUUUGAUUAAUUGCAUGCCCCGACAUGGAUUAAAUUUCCAGAGACAUACACAGCAAAUUUGAAGGAUGGCUCAUGAACCACACUGUGUUUGGACAAAUAAUUUGAGUCAAUGAGGUUCUCUAUUAGGCCAAAAAUCUGUAAGUUUCACAUAAAAAGCUCCAUGACAGUGAAGGUGGCAUAUGACUCAGUUUUUCUAACUUAGAAAAUCUCGAAUCAAAUGAGGUUUUGUGUUAUUAUAAAUACCUGGCCAUGCGAGAAAUUUGCUUCUAGGGUUGUGUUGAACAAUCUACUCAAAGGCAUAGAGAGCAGGCAUGUAACUGAAAUGAGAAUUUUGUUAUCAUAAAUAUCAUAAUUAUCUGGCCAUGCAAGAAAAUUUAUUCUUGAUAGUUGUGUUAAACAAUUUACUGAAUAAAAGGCAGAGAAAGCAGGCAUGUGAGAUAGCUGAUACAUUGUAACCAUAAACAAGCAUUAUAUCAUUGUGCAUGAAAACGCAUUCACAUGCUGAUAUUUGUUUCAGAAGCACAUAAAACACAAGAGGAUAAAAUGCAUACCUCCUCAUUUCGCUUUGCUUGAAGCUUAACUGAAGUUCUUUCCAGGUUGACAAAAUCAGGAGCAACUAUUUUAACAUCAAGGGCUUUUGUCCCUCUAUUCUCUAUCAGAAGUGAAAGAUAUAGAGAAUCUGGUAAAGAGAAAACAAAAGUAGGUAAAAGAGGGAACAAGACAAGCAACACAAAAGCUUUAACUUGCAAUGACACUGCCCAUGUCAUGAUGAGCAGUUUAUUCCCAUAAUUAAAAAGUAAUGGCUAUUAAAUCAAGUACAUCAUAUAUGAAUCGCUAUAAUACAACUUCCAGUUUCUGUUCUUCCCUCCCAAAUUCACUACAGUUUAUUUGUCUUUGCAAUUUUUUUAAUUCAGAGGGUGCAGUAUUCUUUGUCAGAUAAUUUCAGGUCAAUAAGCCAUUUGCUUGAAGACUGCAUGAUAUGAUGUUAUUUAUUUCAACUCUCUUGAGCAUAAUGUGAAGAAGACACGCGUAGAUAUCAUACACAGGUGCCUUGCUUUGAUUUUAACAAGCAGAACAUCAAAAAGUUCAGUUCGACUGGCACAGAAAAGCAUGCCAAUGCAUGGACAGUUUCGAGAUAAUUCAAAAAUACUAGAAACCAUUGGAUAACUAACAGAAGUAAACACUGAUUUCAAUCUCAUAGUAAAGUCAAGAAAAUAUCAUGGGCAAAAUAACAAUGAAUAAUUGUCAAGAGUCAUCGAAAGUUAGGUACUCGCUCGCCAUAUGUAAAAGAUUAGUGUGAUAUAUCAAUUGUCAAUAUCUAUAUAAAGAGAACUGUAAUACUUCCUACCUUUACCAGGUACUCUCAGGCAAGCAACAAACUUGUUCUUCUCGUCAAUGCAUCUAUUGGAUGGAUCACAGCCUUCCACAGGGGAAUCCUCCAGGGGUGGCGUCUUGGGAUUUGAUCCACUCUCCAAACUCUGGUUUCCAUUGGCAUCCUUUAUUUUUGGCACCUCCAAUGGCUUAUCUCUCGUCUCAUUUGAACUCCCCUUUGUGUCCGUAUCAUGAGGUUUCUUGGUUUCAUGUAAGGGUCGUUUGCCCAAUUCAGCACUCUUCCUCUCUUCACCAGCAUUGUUUAACCGAGGACGACCUGCCUUAGUUGUGACAGAAUUUGCAACUAGGAUGUUGGUACCAGUCGCGUUUGUGUCGACCUGAGUUCAGUGAUUCUGGGCAUUAGACACACCAAACAUCAUAACUUACAAAUACAUAACACAGAUCCAACCCGUGCCGAAUAUGUAUCUACAAACAAGUAAGAUGAAGCAUCAAUAGUUCAUCAGAAAUUAGUUCUCCGUAAAAACUUAAUUUUUUGAGAAGAUCAUGAAACCACACUGCGUUAGCGUCUAGUAUUGACCAUAUCGGGUGCAUAAAAGACAUGAAAAAACAUGCAAGAAAGACAAAUCCCCUCAAUAGGCGAUGAUGGAUGAAAGCAUAUUUAGAGCAGCCAAUACAUCAUAAAAAGGAAUGUACCUUUCAGUGUAGCACGAAGGAUCAAGAAAAAUUGAACGAUACCGUGAAGAGAAAAGUGCUCAAAAUCGAUUUUUUCCCUUCGUAAGAACAAAGCGAGACAAGAAGAAGGGGCCAGACUCCGACACCUCUUGCUCAUCUCGCAUUGCCAUACGCUUAACAUCUAAAACCCAGAGAACAGCUCAAAUCGCGAUCUUACCGACCUCUACUGCGGCCGCGCAUCGAUCCACGCCGCGGAGGACCACGGAGAGAAGUGCGACGAGAAGAAUACAAGCCCCCUUCCUCAUCGCGUCCUCGCUUCUCGGGAAAAGGGGGCGACAAGCAACCACCUUUUCCCCUCCAAAUCGGAACCCUAAUUAUCCAGAUCGUUUGCCGAAGCAAGAAAUCAAGACGUGAAGGGAAGAAGGAUUGAUCUUCUCUUCGGGAUGCGCUAUUCUUUCCCGGAGAGGGGACCGAAUUGAGCUGCGUCCACCGUAAGUAGCGGGUUGAUUCCCCACCCUCCCCCUUUGUCGGCGUGUGCGUACGAGGGAGAGACUGUGUGUGUGUGGAAUGGACGUUGAAUAAUAGCAUAGGAAGAGUACUUGGUUAGAGGAAAGGCCGCUUAAAGAUUUGACGUGCUUUUAAGAAUUUAUCCUUUAAGAUGAAUUUUAGUGUACAUAUAAUUCGACGGUAUAUAUAAAAAAAAUUAUAUACUAUAUUUUAUGUUAGGAUCGAGUCGACACUAAAAGAGAGUCAAUUAGUACAGUAAAUAAAAUUUCUCUUCCGUCGAGGCUAACAGCAUCCACAAACGAUCUUCCUUCAAUGGGCAAAGACUAAUCACCUUCUUAUAACUCUAUUAUUCUUUUGAUAGCCGAGGAUAGUGUUGAUGAACGAGUGUACCGUGGCCGAUGCAUCAGCACGGCUUGGUCCGCGGGUUGAUGUCAAGAGUUCAUGAUCGGUUGGGCGAGACGCCGAGGCUGAUUACAUUUGCAAGUCGAGAUGCCGACGUCGUCUGAGAGGAAGCGCCUCUCGGUCGGGACACAAGCGUCGUCUUUGGGGAGGGCGUCUCUUAGUCGAGGUAGUCGCACUUCAGGGGGCGAUAUCGCUCCUGCACAGAAGGCCCUCGUCAGGAAGUUUCCGACUUUGGCCCCUUGAUGAUUAAGAUAGUGAUUGAAUUCUUCCUCUCUUUUUCUCUCCCCCUAGUCGGAUGUCGGUCAAGGGCUUUUAUACUAUUGUGCGAGGAUCGACUAUACGCGGGUUUGGCGCGACGGUCAUUCCCCGAGUGAUGAAGUGGUACCUUCAUGCGGUUGUCGUCUUGGAAUGCAUGGAACGGCGCCAUGCAGCACCGUCCCGAGCUUUUCGGGACGGGAUGUAUCGAAAGGCGCCUCGGUACGGAUCCUGUCUUGGCGCGUAGAAAUACUCCUCGUGCUAACUUGGCAUGGGCGUGAUGCGGCAUUAGUUGUGACGUGGCUAUGGCCCAAAAUAUGCCUUAUCAGAUAGAACCUUUACACCCUCACUUAUUCCUCUCUAAACAAAAUUCUAAACUUAGAGCUAGAGGAAGAAAACUCUCAAGAUUACAAUAGUGUUUUUCCUAAUUUGUGUUCUCAGUGUAAUCUCAGAAGGGUAUUUAUAGGCUUCAAAUGAAUUCAAACUUAGAGCCAAAACUUGUCUCAUCUCUGGGUCUCCCGGUUAUUGACGGUACCAUCGCUUGUGCUUAGUGGUACCAUUGCUUGGGAGACUGUGUUUGGACGGUACCACCACUUGACACUCUCUAAGAUUGUGCCAUCAAUUGUUCCACCAAUUGGGUCACUGUUUGAGCCUUUCACUUGGCCCAACGCAGCCCAAACUUAGACCUAAUUGGCCCCUAAUUGAGUUGGUAUAACUAUGUUCUAAACAAACUCAAUUACGACCUAAAUUAACUCGAUCUAGAUAAAUUAUUACAAGCAAGAAUAUUAAGUUAUUCAGCAUGUCAUUGGUUUAUCGGCGCUUCGUCUAAUCAUUCGAUGCAUCAUCCUCUCUUGUGACCUAUUAUCAAAUCAGUUAGUUGACCUUCGCAACUCUGAUUUCAUUGGUGCAAUUUUCACUCUUCUUGACCCGAUGCCCGAACCAAUGACCCGAAGCCUUCUACUAAUACGUCGACCGAUCUGCCGGCUCAACGUCUAAUUUUCUGACAUGUUUCACUCCGGCCCAACAUUUGAUUCCUUCUAUUUCAAUCAAUUUAUCUCUCCUGAUCGAAGCUAGUCUUAUAUCACUCAAAACGCAGAUUAGAUCGUAAUAUUAUUAAUUGAUUUCAUCAUCAAAAUCUGAAAUUUAAUAUUUUGUCACUCCAAUAAGAAUUUACCUUUUUUUUUUUUGUGUGAGUGGAUAAUAUCAUGAUUUUUCAGAUUUACUAUAUAAUUUAAUAUGUUUGAUUGUGACUUAAUCCGAACUAAAAGAAUAAACCAAAUUAAAUAAUGGUAGAUGAAUACCUAAAGCUUUCAUAGACUUUGUCAUAGUCGAUAGACUAUUCAUCAUUUUUGUCUCUUUACUCUCUUCUUCUCCAUCUAUUAGGCUACUAAAUUUUAUUGUAUGGACGAUAAUAUCAAGAAUUUUCUUUGUAUUCUCUUCCUCUUCCUGUCUUUCUCUAUAUAAUAAGAUAUAGGAUUGUACCUACAAUGGCUUCCACGAGAACUCCAUCUACUUAUUCGACGAAAUGCUUUCAGGAUGCUUAAAGCUUAAUAAUUUUAAAUAUUAUCAUAAAUAAAAAAUAAUAGAUAUAAUAUUUAUAUUAUAUUUCUUUUAUUGCACUCGAAAAUAAACUGUGGUAUCCUCGACUAUCGAAUUAACUUGGAUAUAUAUCAAAUUUUAUAUAAAAAAAUAUAAAUUAUUCCUAAAAUAGAAAAACUAAUUAUAAAUAGUAUGUGAAUAAUAGAUGUUUUGUGGUAAUAAAGUUUUAGAAGAAGUAUUAGAAGAACUUCGUGUUGUUACACUCGAAUAUAAAUCGAAAUAUACUCGAUUACAAAAUUCACUUAAAAUAUUAUCUUUUAUUUUUCGAGGAUUUGUAGGUUUUUAAUGGAAUUUAAUAAAUUUUUAGAUGAAUUCAUUAAUCGGUGUUUUUUUUUUUAUUGUAAGGAUUUGAAGUUUCUCAAUACCACCUAAAACUUUCAACGUAUGUACUCAAUGAUAUUGAUACUUCAUGUAGUAUUUUUUUUUUCUUCUAUUUUAGGAUGAUUAUAGAGUAUUUUAUUAUGAAUUUAGUAUAUUUUCAGGUGGAAUAUACAGUCGAAUACAUCUUAGUUUAUUUUUGACUCAAUAAUACGAAGGUUCCCUUAUCAAGUCAAAUGUUAUACUAAUACAUGUUUUAUUAUUUUUUAUAUUAAAUAAUUUUAGAGUAUUUUACUAUUAAAUUUGAUAUAUUUUAAUAUAAUAUAUACAUUUUGAGUAGGUUUCAAUUCAUUUUCGAGUGUAAGCACUUAAAAUUAGAGACUUCAAUUUCCAAAACUGAAUGAUUUAUAUGAUCUAUACUCAGUGGAGUUUGAGAAUUAUGGUACAUCUUUUCAUAAUUCUCAAAUAGUCAUCACCUAUCUCAAAAAUACCUCCAAAAACUAUAUGUAUUUUUUUCACUCAAAUCCAAAAGAAAUUUCUGUUUAUUAUACAGAAUGUUUUUGUUUUAAAAACAGUAUAUAUUUUUCAAACAAAAAUUAUAUUAUAUUUUAAAAUAUUAUAUAAUAUUUUAUAGAUGUUAGUGAUGAGAAAAUGAUCAUAAAUAAAAGCGACAAGUGAAGGUUAGCGAUAAUAUUAUCUUUUAAAAAUUUUAAAUACGUUCAAUUUGAGUAACACUUUUGGAACAAUUUUUUUUAAUUUGUUUUAAGAAUUUCCUCUUUUUCUUUUCAAUUAUUUUCAAACUCACAAAAAAAAAUAACAAUGGAAUUUGAUUUAAAUACAUUAGAUGAAAGAUUCGGAUACCCAAAAAAAGUUGGAUAUGGAUUACUAUACACUCCAAAAAAAACACUUUUUAAAGUAUUUUUCUAGAAAGUUUGACCAUAAACCAAAGACUUGAAUCAUACGCAACUCAAUUGGACUUUCAAGCAACCAUAACCACUGAAUUGGACUUGACAAAUUAAUAAAUGUACUUUCUCAACAUUUGUCAACAUUUUUUAUUUCAGAAAAUAAAUUUUCAGCAAAGGCUACCAUUCAUUAUAUGUACAUUAAAGUCAAACUUGAUGCUACCACUUGAUAUUAUCUAUUGUGGUGGCUUCGUAAAUUUCAAGCGAAUUAUUACAAAUGAUUAACCUGCAUAAAUUACAGAGUGGUGCCCACGUCACUGCUUCUCUUAAUCUCCAACCGUUCGUUUGAUCUGAUAGAUUAAUGAACGGACGAGAUUGAAAGUAUGAGUGAGAUGAACGGUACUGGUGUCGUUGUGAUGGUAGAACAGAGGAGAGGUUCUCAAGACGAAUCCUUCCAUUUGGCGACUACCUCCGCGAGGGCCUCGUGGGAAGUCCCACCUACGGCAGCGGCCGCUGUGGCUGCCACCUGGAGUUGCCUCACCCUUUCCCUCGCCGCCCGGCCUUCCUCCCCCUCCAUCAACUCGGCCACCGCCGCCGAAAUCUCCUCCCUCCGGACGACGCCGUCCUCCCCUGCUUUGACCCUCAGCGCCACCUUCAGCCUGUCCGCCAGCAUCAGGGCGUUCAUCGGCUGCUCCGCGUACAGCGGCCACGCGAUCAUGGGCACCCCGUGCACGGCGCUCUCCAACGUCGAGCUCCACCCGCAGUGUGUCAGGAAGCCCCCCACCGCCCGGUGGCUCAGGAUCCGGACCUGCGGCGCCCAGAAUGACACCACCAACCCCGUUCCCUUCGUCCUCUCCAAGAAGCAUUCGGGCAAGUAGCUCUCCGGGUCAGCGUUGCUGCCUCCGGCGGCGCCCUCUUCUGCUGCUGGGCUUUUGACCACCCAGAGGAACCCAUGGCCGCUCAUCUCCAUCCCGAGAGCCAUCUCCUUGAUCUGUUCGCGGCUCAACACUCCGAGGCUACCCAAAGAAACAUACACCACGGACGCAUCUGGUUGUUCGUCCAACCACUUCAAGCACAGCGACUCUUCCGGGCUCCAACUCGACCCCCCAUUUUGCACGAGCGGCCCGAUCAGGUGGAUUGGCUGCUGGCCGGGCUUCUUCUCUUUCAACACCGCUGCCGUCUCCGGCUCCAUCUCCUGGAAGCUGUUCACCAGAAUCCCUUCGGCUUUCUCGUAACGCUUCAGAUGGUACAACAGCCACAUAAACUCUUCGGUCGUCCAGUCCUUCACCACGAUCGGGAGGUCGGCCCAAUGCAUCGGGAGGCAUCCUGGCAGCGUGACGGGGUCAGGAAGCCGCGGCAUGGUCUCGUGGAGUGCGGGCAGGUGGAGGGACAAGGACAAGAGGAAUAGGUUGGAGGCGAAGAAGAUGAAGGGAGGAAUGCCGAACUCGCUCGCGAGGUCGAAGGUGUCGGUGCCGAAGAGAUCCGCGACGAACGCCACGAGGCGGGCAGUCCGUUUCAGCCCUGAGACGAUGCGGCGGAGGGCGGGAAGCGAUUCGACUAUGGUGAGAGAGAUUGUGGCGGUGAUGUCCAUGCCGUCGGGGACGUCAACGGGGGGGAGGGUGACGAAGGCGACGCCGGGCGGGAGAGAGUCAACGAAGACCCGGUGGACGGAGGAGGAGGCGAAGUCGGCGGUGGCGAUGAGGGUGACGGAGAAGCCGUGAUGGACGGCAAGGCGCCUCGCGAACUCGGCGAGCGGGAUCAGGUGGCCCAUGCCGGGGCUCGACAGCAUGACUACGUGGGGCGAGAGAUCGACACCUCCUUCCACUUCCGCUUCCACUUCGACCUCCAUUGCUGCUGCUGGCUGUUGAUGCUUCUCCAGGCUCUUCUCUUGGCUCGUCAUCGUGGAGCCAACACCUCCGUUAUUGUUGCGGUUAUAUGCACCGAAUGGACCCAACAACUAAAUUGCAAUGCACUCAAGGCGUGCGCGCAACGCACGGUAUCUCGAAGGAGACAUCUAUCUAAUUAAUUGGCACAUUGCACUUUGUAGCUCAUUCUAUAAGAUCAUAUUGUCUAUAAGAUCAUAUAUAUAUAUAUAUAUAUAUAUAUAACGUCACAAUUUGAAAAUAUUGAUAUUUUAAACAUUGCAACUUGCAGCAGUUGUUUUUGACUAACUAUCGGUUUUUUUAUGUUGAAAAAUGAGCCAUAAAGAUAACUAUAUGAUCUAUUAUUAUUAUUAUUAUUAUUAUUAUUAUUAUGUACUCGGUCAAUAAGAGAUGAGGAUCAAAUUUGACUUCGUCGAAGCUGAUAAAUGAAAAAUUAUAUCUUCUUAACUAUCAGUGACAUCAUUCGGAAUAGAAUUAGAGGUAGAUGGGCAUGUUAUUAUACUAGAUGUUGAGGAAGAUGAUAAUGUGAGGCGAGAGUUGUAUUAUAUAAUAUAUCUAAAAAAAUAUUAUAUAUUUUUUCAUAUGAAUCAUAAAGAAAUUUUUUCUCAGAUCCACUGCAGAAUACUCUAAAAAUACUCAAAAUAUUUUUUUAUACUUUUUUCCUCGUCACAAUAUUACCAAUGUAUUUAUAGAACAAAUCCUCACCCACCAAUAACUAUUCUUCCUACUUAGAUCCUUAAUCCAAAUCCUAAUCUUAAUUCAUGAAUAUUUUAGAAUCUAAUUAGACUUAUCCAAAUAAUUUAAAUAUAAAUAUUUAUAAAUGUUGAUCGUUCAUGGUUAAUGACGCUGGGCACAUGCUUUGUUGUUUCUUGCACUGACUCAUUUCUUUGGGCGGAUAGAAACCAUCACAAGCUAAAUGAUAUACGUAUCAGCUAAGCUUCUAAUUCCUGAGAUUACUGUAUUCAUGUUAGGCAAAUUGAGAUAAGAUGCAGAAACAAUUCGUCUUCACUCCAAAAGGACCAACCACAUAUGCUCUCAGAAUCAACAGAGUACAACUCAUUUUAAGCUCUACAUAGUAGAUAGGGAAAAGGUAGAAGAGAUGGCAGAGGCGUUCAAGAAAGAGAAGAAGGGAGAAGAAGAGAAAAAGAUGCUUGUUUGGGACUGUGGCAGCCCAUUGCUUUGAUUUGAGCUCUCUGCCACAUCCUCGACAGGCAUAUCAGGGUGCUGCCCUUCUCCAGCAGCUCCCCAAACCUCCCAGAUGAGCCUAAGGAGUUUCUGAUUGGGAAGGGAGUGUUGGGGAAUUGGUGGAUGGAGAAGAAAGAGGCCAAGAAGAGGAUCAAGGUGAUGAUGAAGGCCAUGUACAGUUUCAUUGCUUUCUGGAGAAACUUGUGAGAGCCAUCUCUCUUCCAAGUUAUGUCUUUCUUUCUUUCCUUGGUUUGCAUGUUGGAUAAGAGUUGCAUGACAUUGAAUUAUUUUCCUUUUGGAUGUUUAAAGCUACAUUUGUUGAAGAUUUGAUAUAUAAAUAAAUAAAUAAAUAUAUAUAUAUAUAUAUAUAUAUAUAUAUAUAUAUAUAUAUAUAUAUAUAUGCUACAAAGUGGAUAAUAAGCUUUAAAUUACAUCCAAAAAAACAUGGAUCUUCUUAUCAAUUGUUUCCUCUCAUGAUUGAACCAGUAAAAGUUAACCUUUCCAGUGCCAUUACAGCUCAAAUCAUGAUCUUUUCAGGUGUCAUGAUAUAUUGUACUAGCUCAAGAUAGUACAAAUAUGACUGUAUCUCUUUUUUAAAAAGAAUUUUUUUCAUGUUCAAGACAUAAAUUUCUCCUCCAAAAUAGAAAAUAGAUGAAUGAAAAGAAUAGUUAUGAGUGAAGAAAAAAAUAUAUUGAGAAUAAUAGUAAUGGUAUUUAAUUUUUUCAAACGGUGAUCAAAUGAACGAGUACAACAUCAGAAAUAGUACACAGAUCAAAUGGACGAUAGAAAACACGGAACAUCGACAACAGCCACCCAAAAUCCAAUAAGUAUUAGCUUAUUAUUAUUCGCGAUGGUCGGACGGAACCAUCGUCACCGUCAAAGACUCAUCGGCAAGUAUUUGAUGAGGACCGCAGUCAACGACUAGUCCACCUUGACUCAGCGGCCACGCACCUCGCCUUUCAACUGCCCCACCAGCUUCGCCAGCGCCGAAUGCGACGAGCCCCCUUCUCUGAGCGCCUCCACCGCUCUCUCCUUCAUCGUCGCCAUCCUUUCCCUCAGGUUCCGGCAAGCCACCGACUCCAUCAGCCAGCGAACCUUGGCCUCCACCUCCUCUGCUGACACCAGUUCCCCCUCAUAUCCGUCCAUCGCCACCGCCAGUCGCAUCUCCUCCGUCAGGAACACCUUGUUCAUCUUCUGCUCUGCGUACAGUGGCCACCCCACCAUCGGCACCUCGGCGACGAUCGCCUCCAGCACCGAGUUCCACCCGCAGUGGGUCACGAACCCCCCCACCGAAUCGUGGCUCAGCACCUCAACCUGCGGAGCCCAUGACUUCACCACCAGACCCCUCUCCCUUGUCCGCUCCAGGAAACCUUCCGGCAGUAGCGCGUCCAGGUCCGGCUCCGGCGGCCGCUCGUAACGCUUCGCCGGGUCGUUACUCGGCGGGCUCCGCACCACCCACAGGAACCUCUGCCUGCUUCGCUCGAGCCCCGCGGCGAUCUCCUUCAGCUGCGCGGCUGUGAACAAGCCCAGGCUACCGAAGCAAAGGAAGACCACGCUGUCUCGGGGCUGAGCGUCGAGCCACUCGAAGCACUCCGCCCUGUUGGCCUUCUCCCUCCCGUCCGACGUGAUCAGAGGUCCGAUGGAGUAGAUGGGAGGAGUCGCCCGUCCGUCCGUGACGCAGCGGCCAGCGGCGAUGGCUUCGAGCGCCCGCGGCUCGAGCGCGUCGAACGUGUUGACGAUGAUGCCGUGGGCGUCCGGAAAGCGGGAGCAGACGUCGAGUGACCCCUUGUAGGCCUCGUCCUCGCGGUCCAGCAUUGGGAGCGGCAUGUGGUCAGCGGGCAAUGGCGGGAUCCCGGGGACCAGCAGCGGGGCGCUGCCGAGCUCCCUGAAGCUCUUGACUGUGGUGGAGUGCAACGUCUGGAUGUAGAAGAAAGUGGCGAGGACGCUAGCGCCGGAGGUAAAGAAGGUGUAGCAGGGGAUGCAGAGCUCAGCUGCGACGUCGAGGGCCAAGCUGCAGAACAUGUCGACGACGAUGGCUCUGGGGGCGGCGUCGCGGAGGAGGUUGAGGAGAUUUGCGUUGGAGAGGCGGAGGAGGUCGAAGGCGAGGGCCUCUUGGUGGGGGGAGGGGUUGGGGGGGAGGGCGACGGGGGGGAGGCGGUGGAAGGUGAUGGAGGGAUUGGCGGCGGAGGCGCGGGCAACGAAGGCCGCGGUGGAGCCGGUGUUGUAAGGUGGGUCGACGGUGACGACGGCGACGGCCAUUCCGUGGAGGACGAAGAGCUUUCCGAGCUCCAUCAUGGACACCAGGUGGCCCAUCCCCGGCGACGGGUACAGCACCACUCCUCCCCGCUUCCUCUCUUCCGCAGGAAACAUGUCCUCUCUCUCUCUCUCUCUCUCUCUCUGGUCCGAAGCGACAUCUUCGAAUUAUAUAAGGCCACUUUUAUAGCACAGGGUGGCGACACCGACCGCAGUGGUAAAUACUGCGUUGGAGUGCAGAGGUAAAUACUGCUACUUGAUUUGAAGUCGAUCACACCCACAUCAUUCAAUCACCUAUCAGUCAACACGUGGCCACGUCAGCGAAGAUGUCAUCGAGUUCGUCUGAUGACAACGAAAAUUGGAAGAAACAUUGACCGAAGAUAUAUAUUAAUUGGUUGAUCGAAGAAUGAUUUGGAUCUCGAAGUUUCUAGAUGUUGGGUGGAUAUAUAUUGUGGUGGGGGCGAAGAUAAAUAUUACUUGGUUGAUGGAAGAAUGAUUUAGAUCUCAAAGUUUCUAGAUGUUGCGUAGGUAGAUUUGUCUCUUUAACUUGGAAGCGAGAUACAAGGUUAGUCAACACGUGAUUGCCAUAUAAGAUCUAAAUCAUCCUUGAUAAAAAUCUAAGGAAACAUAAAAAAUAUAAUCAUAAAUUUUGUUAUUAUUUUUAACGAUAAAGACAAUCUAAAACUUAUUUUUUUUAUGACAAGGAAGAUAAUUAUAAACUUUAUUCUUAUCUUUAAGGUAUAAAAUAUAUUUUUUAAAUAAUAAAAAAAAGGCUCUCGCUCUUUCCUUUUUGAAACUAUUCUAACCCAUAUCUAGGAAUCUCGAAUUACUAACUUAUACAUUGGAGAGAUCAAGUUGAAAAAUAUCUUUCGAUCUAGUCUUCGUGUAUGUGAUAUCUCGAAAAUAUAAUAUUUUUUUAUCUCGAGAGCAUAUAAUUUCCACAUUGGAGGGAGCACAAUAUUUUUACCUCAGAAAUAUCUCGAACAUUCCGGUAUAUAUGAGUCUGAACCACAUCGGGUUCAUAAAGAUAUUAACAAUAUUUUCUACUAACACUCGUUAAAGUCUUUUAAGAUUAUGCCCUAUCCCUUUUUAAUAUAAGAUAUAUGGAUUGAUCAAUCAAAUUAUAAAAACUCAACUAUAUCAAUCAAACUAUUUAAAAUUAACAUAAUGAUGUGGACCAAUUCAAUAAUUUAAAUAUAAAAAAUAAGUUUAUUAAAAUUAUAUAUUAAACUCAAUAUAUGCCAUUUGAUUCUUUCGAUCAUUAACAAUAUGAAACUAUUCUUUUGAUCCUCCUUCCACUUUCAUAUCUUACAUAAAAAUUCUCCUAACAAUGAUGAAGAUAAAACCAGUCACUAAACGGAAAUCCCUAAAUUGACAGCAACACGAUAGCUAAACAUAGCUAAGUCGAAUCAUAUACAAAUGCGAGAUGAUGAUGACGAGCCCUUUUACCUUCCAACAAAUAUUACUUUCAAUCUUAUGACACAUGAUAUCAUGUGCUUUAGAUCAAUUCUUUGCACCUUAGAUCUUUAUUAACAAAACAAUUUUUUUAUACUUUAGAUUGUUUGUUGUCUCCCACUCCAUAUAAAAAGACAUAUUGCAAAACGCAAGUUAGUAUAGAUUAAGGGAAUCCAUUUGCAUGUUCCUCUGAUUCAUUUGGAAGCUAAAGCAUAUGCGCGAUUGGUUUGUGUAUAUCCUAUUUGUUUUCAAUCGCAUAAUCAUCUUAUUUUCCAACAUUCUUCCCAUAAACUCUCAUUUUUCCUUCAAAACCUUGUGCAUCUUAACGAAAUGACAAUUGACUUCACCUAAUCAUGAAUCGGCCAUCCAACUCCGUUCACUUUAUCCUUUGUUUUCGUCUAAUUUGAAAAAUAAUAUUAAUUUUUUUCUUUGUAAAAAUAAAUCUAUUCGUCUGAUUUAUUUCUUUCUAAAAAAUAAAUAUUAAUUAUUUCCUAAAAAUAUUAAUUAUCCAUCAUCCUUCCAAAUUUAUUUUGCUUUCUAAAAAUAAAUAUUAUAUUAAGUUCAUUCUACUCCGUUCAUAAACAUUAGAUAUUUUAUUUCGAAAUUCUAUUUAUUUAUCGAGAAAUACAUAUAAAUUAUAUUUUUCUUAAUAAUUAAUAAUAAAUAUUAAGUAUUUGAAAAUUGUUUUCUAAAUCCAUGACACUAAUAACAUUAUUAAUCAUUCGAUUUUACAACGGCAAUAAAACGUUGUUCAAGAGAUUAUCAUUGUGUUCGUUCAUUCAUCAUUAAUUAUAUUUGUAAUAUAAAUUUUAUCAAAAUUAUGAAUAUAUUUAAUUAAUAGAUAUAUUGUAAGGAUACCAUACGAUUUAGAUAAAAGAAUAUAUUUAUUGACAAUAUUCGAAUGAGUUAAUAUGAAGCUUCCACCCCGUCGCGUCCGGCACCGACCCCUUUUGCAUGGGAUCUCUCGACGUGCCCAUCGUGGUUGGUGUCCUCCUCAGGCGGCGCACCCCGCGAUCCGGAUUUGCCCGCACGCAAACUCUCUCUCUCUCUCUCCUUCCUUCUAUAUAUAUGUAGACGAGCCAAAGAAGGCUCACCUCGCCUCGUCGUCAUAGGCUUCUCCUUCGGUGUGUGUCGAAAUCCUUGCGAGGAGCGAUGUCGAAUUUGAUAGACAAGGCGAAGGAGUUCGUGGCCGAGAAGAUAGCGAAGAUGCCGAAGCCGGAGGCCUCCCUCGAGAGCGUGUCCAUAAAGAGCUUCACCCGCGACUCCAUCCUGUUCCACAGCGAAGUCGCCGUCCUCAACCCGUACUCCCACUCCAUCCCCAUCUGCCAGCUCUCCUACGCCCUCAAGAGCGCCGGCAGGUUGCCGUCUCUUCCUUCCUUUCUUAAUCUAUCUUCCGCCAACCUUUGGCUUUUCUUCUUCACGAUGAUGGUGGAUCUUUGUAGGGAGGUGGCGUCGGGGACGAUGCCGGACCCGGGGUCGCUGACGGCGAGCGCGGAGACGAAGCUGGAGGUCUCGCUGAAGGUCCCCUACGACUUCUUGAUAAGCUUGAUGAGAGACAUCGGCCGCGACUGGGACAUCGACUAUGAGAUGCAGGUGGGGUUGACCAUCGACCUCCCUAUCAUCGGCGACUUCACCAUCCCGCUCUCCACCAAGGGCGAGAUCAAGCUGCCCACCCUCUCUGAUCUCUUCUGCGGCGGCGGCGGCGGAGAUGAUUAAGCAAGCUUCCAUCUUUUGUGUGUUCCAUUUGGUCAAUGAGAUUAAGAAAAUGGAAGUCAACGCUAAAAAUGUGUUGUUUUUAGGUCACUUGUAUCCGAUAUGAAUCGGAUGGUGAAAGACUAUAUUUAUAAUUCAUGUUAUUUCAGCGUAUUUUGAAUGAAUAUUAAAUUCGAAUCUGAUUUGGAUGAAAUAUUUUGAUAUUUUAUCAAUCAAUUAACUUGAUUUCAUCAAUCAACCGAUUUGUGCUCUGCGUGACUUGAAAAAAAUCGAAUUUUUCAUUAUAUAAGAAAAAUAAAAUAUAAAUAAUCAUUCUCUUUUGAACUAAUCCAAAAUAAAGUCUCAAAAAUCAUUAUAUAUUUUUUCAGAUAAAUCAUGAAGGUUUUUUCUCUCAAUCUUCUUUAGAUCUACUGCAGAAAACUCCAAGAAUACAUUAAUUAUUUGUUUUACUUUUUUACUCUCAUCACAAUAUUGAGAAUGUAUUAAUUAGAGCAAAUCCUAAUUCAUCAAUAACCAUUCACCCAACUUAGAUUCUUAAUCCAAAUCUUAAUCUUAAUUCACCCAGAUUCAUUACAACUUAUCCAAGUAAUUUAAAUCUAAUUAUUUAUAAAUGUUGAUCAUUUAUGCUUAAUGAUGCUGGGCUCAUCUUUCUUGCACCGACUCAUUUCUUUGGGAGAUAGAAACUGUCUCAAUAUGGAGUUUAUAUACAUGAUAAAAGAUGUAUGUAAAUCACCUGCAAGAUUCUAAUUACGGAGAUUAGGAUAUUCAAGUCGAGCAACCAAUUAAAAAAUUAAUACGAUUGAGUGAAGAUAUAGAAGCAAUUUGUCUUUGCUCCUUACUAUAGAAUCAUCCGAUUUAACCUCAUAUACUCUCAGAACCAUCAUAGUUGAUAUGGACGAUUUUGCUCCAUGUAAGCUCAUAUGCUCAUCGAGGUCGUUAUCUAAGCAGGACUCCACAUUCUCACAUUACCUUAUCAACAUCAGAAAAUGAUCAUGUAGUUCACCUAAUAUUAUCUCAAACUAAUUAGUAAGAAGGUUCUGGGAUCAAGUAUAAAAAGAAUCCAUCGGCACACGCUAAUAAUAUUAGUUUACACUACACAUUAACCUAAUCGCGUUAGUGUGUACUAUGGGGGGGGGAACUCUCGACAUACUAACCUAACCGCAUAGUUUACAUUACUGUCUUCUCCUUUUUAUUGACUUAAACAUCAAAGGGGCACGUCGGGUAACUACUAGGGUCAUCCUGUCAUGCAAGAUCAUCGGCUAUCAAGAGGCGACCUUGUUGUUAGGACGUAACCAUAUAACAUGAGACAAACCAUCUCUCGGGGACAUUCGAACGAUCUGAUCUCGAAAGAAAACUUUACAUCCAGAAAUAUCAUAAACUGUCUACCCAAUCAUCACGAACCAGGUCCUCGUCGAUAAGACCGUUUCGGAUCGAAUUGUCUAUUCGAUCCUACCUUUGCAAAUCUCUCACGUCAAUCAGAUAUCGCGGCGACUCAAUCAGUCGACCAAAAGAGGACAAUUCGUUUUGAGCUAUACAUAAAGAGAGAAAAAGUAAAGAAAAGCAGUAGUCAUGGUGCUUGUUUGGGACUGUAGAAGAGAAUGACAGAGAAAAAGAGAAAAGGAUGCUUGUUUGGGACUGUGGAAGCCCAUUGUAUUGUAUGACUCCUUUGAGCUGAGCUCCCUUUGCCACAUCCUUGACAGGCAUGUCAUGGUGCUACCCUUCUCCAGCAGCUCCCAAAUCUCUCAGACGAGCCUAAGGAGUUCAGCUCAAAGGGUGGAUGGAGAAGAAGGCCAAGAAGAAGAUCGAGAUGGUGAUGAAGACCAUGUACAGUGCCAUUGCUUUAUGGAGAAACUUGUGAGUGUCAUCUCUCUUCCAUGUUUUGUCACUCUUUCUUUCAUUUGGUUUGCAUGUUGGAUAAGAGUUGCAUGACAUUAAAUUAUUUCCCUUUUGGCUGUUUAGAGCCACAUUUGUUGAAGAUUCGACAUAAAGAUGUCGAUUUAUACAUACGCUACAAAGUGGAUAAUAUGCUUUAAAUGACAUCCAAAAAACAUGGAUUCUCUUUCCGAUUGUUUGCUCUCAUGAUGGAAUCAGUCAAAACUUACGAAGAACAGAAAACCUUUCCUAUGCCAUUGCAGCUCAAAAUGUACCCUUUCCAGGCAUUAUGAUACAUCUUUUCUGCUCCAUUGAAACUUAAGACAGCACAAUAUAUGACUCACUUCUUAGAAAUAUAUUAGGUUGGGUCUGAAUGAUUCACGAUUGGGCGUGUCAAGUUUCUAAUUAUAAUAGCUUAGGUGGUUGGAUUAAGAUUUACUAUAAUUAUAAUGGUUCUUGGAACGGUACCAAUACGCUUUUCUAGGGAUCAGAAGCGCGAAGGCUGAGGAGAUGCGAUCAGAACCGUCAGAUCGAACGGUGGACGGUGUUUCGUUUCUGAUGUCGCCGUUUCUUCUUUGGCAUAGCAUGAACGAUGGGUAAUCGGCUGUUGCCUCCACGGCAGCAGACACCCAGUACGGGUGUAAUGUGCCGAGCGCGGCACUGGGUCUAACUUUUGGUCAAGAAUCAUGGUCCAUUGAUUGUGUAUGGAAUAAUUGCACGCUGUCUGAAUACCGACAGGUUCCGCAACUUCAUACGAAGGACCACAACUUCAGAACCGGUACACAGAUCAAAUGGACAACAGUAAACACGGAACAACGACAACAGCCACCCAAAAUCCAAUAACUAUUACCACAUUAUUAUUCGCUGCCGGUAGGACUGAACCCAUUGUCACCGUCAAAGACAACGACAAGUAUUUGACGACGACCGAGGUCCGCCUUUACUCAACUGCCACACGCCUCGUCUUUCAACUGGCCCACCAACUUCGCCAGCGCCGAAUGCGACGAGCCGCCUUCUCUGAGCGCCUCCGCCGCUCUCUCCUUCAUUGCCNNNNNNNNNNNNNNNNNNNNGAUGAUGCCGUGGGCGUCCGGAAAGCGGGAGCAGACGUGGAGGAACCCCUUGUAGGCCUCGUCCUCGCGGUCCAGCAUUGGGAGCGGCAUGUGGUCAGCGGGCAAUGGCGGGAUCCCGGGGACCAGCAGCGGGGCGCUGCCGAGCUCCCUGAAGCUCUUGACUGUGGUGGAGUGCAACGUCGGGAUGUAGAAGAAAGUGGCGAGGACGCUAGCGCCGGAGGUAAAGAAGGCGUAGCAGGGGAUGCAGAGCUCAGCGGCAACGUCGAGGGCGAAGCUGCAGAACAAGUCGACGACGAUGGCUCUGGGGGCGGUUUCGCGGAGGAAGUUGAGGAGAUUUGCGUUGGAGAGGCGGAGGAGGUCGAAGGCGAGGGCCUCGUGGUUGGGGGAGGGGUUGGGGGGGAGGGCGACGGGGGGAAGGCGGUGGAAGGUAAUGGAGGGGUUGGCGGCGGAGGCUCGGGAAAUGAAGGCCGCGGUGGAGCCGGUGUUGUAAGGUGGGUCGACGGUGACGACGGCGACGGCCAUUCCGUGGAGAACGAAGAGCUUUCCGAGCUCCAUCAUGGACACCAGGUGGCCCAUCCCCGGUGACGGGUACAGCACCACUCCUCCCCGCUUCCUCUCUUCCGCAGCAAACAUAUCCUCUCUCUCUCUCUCACACUCUCUCUCUCUCUAUCUUUACCAAAGCGACAUCGUCGAAUUAUAUGAGGCCACAUUUCUAUCGACC